rnacentral:rRNA from 1 species
CCUACGGGAGGCAGCAGUGAGGAAUAUUGGUCAAUGGCCGGAAGGCUGAACCAGCCAUGCCGCGUGAAGGUCAGUGCCCUAUGGGCGUUAAACUUCUUUUGUGCGGGAGCAAUAAUGGUCACGUGUGGCCAGACGAGAGUACCGUACGAAUAAGCAUCGGCUAACUCCGUGCCAGCAGCCGCGGUAAUACGGGGGAUGCAAGCGUUAUCCGGAUUUAUUGGGUUUAAAGGGUGCGUAGGCUGUGAGGUAAGUCAGCGGUGAAAUGCCCCCGCUCAACGGGGUGAAGUGCCAUUGAUACUGCCUUGCUGGAAUGCGGAUGCGGUGGGAGGAAUGUGUGGUGUAGCGGUGAAAUGCAUAGAUAUCACACAGAACACCGAUUGCGAAGGCAGCUCACGAAUCCGCGAUUGACGCUGAUGCACGAAAGCGUGGGUAUCAAACAGGAUUAGAUACCCCAGUAGUC